rnacentral:rRNA from 1 species
AGUGAACGCUGGCGGUAGGCCUAACACAUGCCAGUCGAACGGCAGCACAGUAAGAGCUUGCUCUUACGGGUGGCGAGUGGCGGACGGGUGAGGAAUACAUCCGAAUCUACUUUUUCGUGGGGGAUAACGUAGGGAAACUUACGCUCAUACCGCAUACGACCUACGGGUGAAAGCAGGGGAUCUUCGGACCUUGCGCGAUUGAAUGAGCCGAUGUCGGAUUAGCUAGUUGGCGGGGUAAAGGCCCACCAAGGCGACGAUCCGUAGCUGGUCUGAGAGGAUGAUCAGCCACACUGGAACUGAGACACGGUCCAGACUCCUACGGGAGGCAGCAGUGGGGAAUAUUGGACAAUGGGCGCAAGCCUGAUCCAGCCAUCCCGCGUGGGUGAAGAAGGCCUUCGGGUUGUAAAGCCCUUUUGUUGGGAAAGAAAAGCAGCAGGUUAAUACCCCGCUGUUCUGACGGUACCCAAAGAAUAAGCACCGGCUAACUUCGUG